rnacentral:rRNA from 1 species
UACGUAGGUGGCGAGCGUUGUCCGGAUUUACUGGGCGUAAAGAGCGCGCAGGCGGUCGUUCAAGUCGCGUGUGAAAGCCCCCGGCUCAACUGGGGAGGGUCACGCGAUACUGAUCGACUCGAAGGCAGGAGAGGGUAGUGGAAUUCCCGGUGUAGAGGUGAAAUUCGUAGAUAUUGGGAAGAACACCAAUGGCGAAGGCAGCUCGCUGGGACGGUACUGACGCUGAGACGCGAAAGCAUGGGGAGCAAACAGG